rnacentral:rRNA from 1 species
CUGCCUACGCAAGUAGUGAGGAAGGCGGGGAUGACGUCAAAUCAGCACGGCCCUUACGUCCAGGGCUACACACGUGCUACAAUGGCCGAUACAGAGGGCAGCUACCUGGUGACAGGAUGCAAAUCUCCAAAGUCGGUCUCAGUUCGGAUCGGAGUCUGCAACCCGACUCCGUGAAGUUGGAUUCGCUAGUAAUCGCGCAUCAGCCAUGGCGCGGUGAAUACGUUCCCGGGCCUU